UACAGAGGUCUCAAGCGUUGUUCGGAUUCACUGGGCGUAAAGGGCGCGUAGGCGGCCCUCCUUGUCGCGUGUGAAAGCCCCGGGCUCAACCUGGGAACGGCGCGCGAGACGGGGGGGCUGGAGUUCGGGAGAGGAGCGUGGAAUUCCCAGUGUAGAGGUGAAAUUCGUAGAUAUUGGGAAGAACACCGGUGGCGAAGGCGGCGCUCUGGACCGAGACUGACGCUGAGGCGCGAAAGCGUGGGGAGCAAACAGG
rnacentral:rRNA from 1 species